AGUGAACGCUGGCGGUAGGCCUAACACAUGCAAGUCGAACGGCAGCACAGUAAGAGCUUGCUCUUACGGGUGGCGAGUGGCGGACGGGUGAGGAAUACAUCGGAAUCUACUUUUUCGUGGGGGAUAACGUAGGGAAACUUACGCUAAUACCGCAUACGACCUACGGGUGAAAGCAGGGGAUCUUCGGACCUUUCGCGAUUGAAUGAGCCGAUGUCGGAUUAGCUAGUUGGCGGGGUAAAGGCCCACCAAGGCGACGAUCCGUAGCUGGUCUGAGAGGAUGAUCAGCCACACUGGAACUGAGACACGGGCCAGACUCCUACGGGAGGCGGCAGUGGGGAAUAUUGGACAAUGGGCGCAAGCCUGAUCCAGCCAUACCGCGUGGGUGAAGAAGGCCUUCGGGUUGUAAAGCCCUUUUGUUGGGAAAGAAAAGCAGCAGGUUAAUACCCCGCUGUUCUGACGGUACCCAAAGAAUAAGCACCGGCUAACUUCGUG
rnacentral:rRNA from 1 species